AAAACCUGCAGCUGGAUGAGAGUGAGACUGCUCAUGGCUCAAGAUGGCUCCUGCAACUUGCUUUGCCUGCUGUGCUUCUGGUGGCUCAAAGGGCUGUGCAUUUGGCUAAAUGUGGACCUUCGUGGAGCUGGAGACACAUGCCACAGGCUGAAAGCUCGUUGAUAAUAACCAUCAGCACUGAGAUUUCAUAGCUCACCUUGGCUGUGAACAAGAAACUCUACAGUUGUUUGAAGUACAAUCAUGUUGCAAAGUUGCUGUAGCAGGAUAUGUCUCACAAAGAAGCUAUGUCCAAGAGUGGUACUCUGUGAGUUUCAUAGCAUAUAUCUGCUUCUGGCCACUUCAAGACAAACCUCUACCAGGACCUAUCAUAUGUCUUGCACUGCUUGCUUGAGAAUGGAGGAGAAACACUCAUCUGAUGAAAAACCAUCCCAUGACAAAUAAGCACCUGCUGGGCUGAGGGUGGUUUGUGGGAUGGACCGUGUUCCUGCAGCCAGGGUCCUCAAUGGCACAGGGUUGAUGGGGGCUGCAGAUGGUGGGCAUGGGGCAGAACUGUCCUCAUGCUGCUGUGGUCCUGGGUGGCCUUUGGCUUGGGAGGGAACAGGCUGCUGCCCAUUGCUGCUGCCCAGGCAACAUGUCUUGGAGAGCAUCUGCUACCUCGGAUGUGUUAAGUAGUCAGUGUGGUGAGUAGCAGCAGCUUAACUGGUUCGUUGUAUUAAGCCCUGAUGCCCCUGGGGAUUAAAGAAAGAAGCAGUUUGUAUGCCAUGAGGCAUCAAAGCUUUCUCCUUUGCUUUAGCAGACUGUACUUCGCCUUCUGGCCUAGGCUGGCAUUGCUGGCAGCAGGGUUAACCUGCUUUACAUACACUAGGUAAGUGCUAGCAGAGGCUCAGUGUUUCGGAAAUAACAUAUGUUUUGUGGGAUUCAAAGGCAGCCCCCUGCAUCUUCAAUAUCAAGUUGUGAGUAAUAAUGCAGUAAUACCUGCCUAAUAACUGCCAUCUGCCUAGGCUUUGUAAACAUUAAUGUUUAGCUUCCUUAUGUGCAGUGAUUUCAUUUUCUGAGAAAUAUUCUAGCACUGGGUGACUAAACGGGUCUGGCUGCAGGAGGAUACCGCUAGACCACCCCCCAAAGCCUGACCCUUGGCAGAAACCCUCUUUGCUAACACAGAUGAGUGUCUCACUGAAUGGCAAUUUGUGACGGCAGAUGCAAGGGAUGUUUCAGCCAAGGAUGCUUGAUGAGGCUUUUCUCUUGCUUUGUCUGUUUUCAGUGACAGAUACUAGAGUUCUUGGACUCCCUGACCACUCAAAUAUCCCCUGGGACCUGGCCUGUUGCAAUGCCCACUGAGGUUGCUCUCUGACAGCUGAUUUCCACUGAGUACAUGGGUGUGCAGCUCUCCAGCCCUAUGUCAGUGCAGGGUCUGCUCCUCUUGCAGCUUUCCUGGUAAUGAGCCCAUGCUGCUGAGCUGGGUCUGAUUUCUUUGAGUGCUCCAGCAUCUCCAGCAGCUGAAGAGAGCAAGUUAUCAAUAAUGCGCAUUAAUGGUAUUGUUAGCUGGAGCAGGUCUAGCCAGCAUGUUCAUUAAACAGCUCUGAGGUUACCUAGGACUCACUAAAAUUUCCACUGAUUAAUAGUGGAAGUUGGAGCUUAAGGGGGCUCCCCUGGGGAGCUCAAUUGCUUUUCCUGAAGUACAUGAAGGUCAUAAGAUUCCUGAGGCUUGAUCCAGAGUUUCACAUAAUGGUGGGAAUUCUUCCAGGGAUUCCAGGGGGACUCCUUGGCUCCUACGUCUGCAAGUUUAGACUGUUGCCUCUGUUAAUCAGACAAAAAAAAAAAAUCACUUUGAUUUUUAAGGACUCACAAAACAUAAGGAUCUCAAUCUCAUAUUUGAAAUGCAACUAAUUUGCCAAACUCUUGUAGAUUAAUCUUCAGUCCAAUUUCUUUAAAGAAUUUAAAUGUUUACAAUGCUGUGUGCCUGUUUUCUGUACUGUGUGUUUUUAGAUCAGAAGUGCUUGCUUUCCGUGUAACUGAGGCUCAUUAUACUCUGCUCUGCUGAAUGUACUUGUCUGUCAGUGGGGAAUCAGAAUGAGAAAGUUGAGGCGGUUGCGAUGCCACAGACUAUUUCUGCUUUUUCCCCCCACCCACCCUAAAACUCUUUUACUUCGAUUGACGUCAGUUAUUUUUGCCAGCUGCAACUUAAAAUUUCUGACAGCAGUGCGAGUGGAUUUCUUUUCCUUUGGCACAGCUGCCAUCACGGGCCUUUAGGACAUGUUUGGGAAGAUGAUGAAAAAUAAACCUGGAGAACUAGUGUCAAAGAAACUUGUGAACAGAGGUUCACAAGGUAUUGGAGGCUCAUAAGCAAAGUUUCAGAUUUUAGGAAGUGUUCGCUGCUCUUCUACCAAAUAAAAGAUAAACCAAAUAAGUUGAUUAAAGAGCAUUGUACUAUUACAGCAUGGUUACCAACCCAAAGGGAACAUUAACGAGUGCUGCGUACUGCACUGUAGUCAUUCCAGGAGGAUGAUUAUAUUCCAGUAAUCUUGUCACAUCUAAAGAAUUAUUUUUCCUUCAGAAGUCUGAGUACCAUGUUCCUUGUUUGAGAGGAUAUCUGGGGUGAU